CGGAGGGUGCAAGCGUUAUCCGGAUUUACUGGGUUUAAAGGGUGCGUAGGUGGGUCUGUAAGUCAGUGGUGAAAUCUUCAAGCUUAACUUGGAAACUGCCAUUGAUACUAUAGGUCUUGAAUUAUCUGGUGGUAAGCGGAAUAUGUCAUGUAGCGGUGAAAUGCUUAGAUAUGACAUAGAACACCAAUUGCGAAGGCAGCUUACUACGGAUUUAUUGACACUGAGGCACGAAAGCGUGGGGAUCAAACAGGAUUAGAUACCCUGGUAGUCCACGCCCUAAACGAUGGAUACUCGACAUACGCGAUACACUGUGUGUGUCUGAGCGAAAGCAUUAAGUAUCCCACCUGGGAAGUACGAUCGCAAGAUUG
rnacentral:rRNA from 1 species